UAUUCGCCCUAAAACACUGAUUCCUCAGUGCCUUGUUAGCAACUGUCGUGGGGAGGGGAAAGCCUGGCUUGAAGGAGGUUGACACAGACAGCUGAAGUGAAGACUGGGGAUUACUGGAGAUGUCCACCAUCGCCCCACCCCCACGCCCCAUUAGCAUGGAGUGUGUGGCCUUUGAGCUUGCUGUGACCCAGGAUGUGAGGGGAUUGCCAUUCCCAUCCCCUGCCUCAUUCUGUCCUCCAGAUGCACAGGACGGAUGAAAUGGCCUCUCCCCAGAGGAGAAGGCAGCAGCUUGGCUCUGAAAUGAAAAAGAGAAAAAGAAGCUAAUUGUGAGGUGAGAUGAGGGUGAGCAUCGUGGUGGGGAGAACUCUCGAAGAAGUGCAACAACCAGAAGGCAAAAGAUCCAGUUCAAAGUGG
rnacentral:lncRNA from 1 species